rnacentral:rRNA from 1 species
GACGUGGGGCGCGAGCGUUGUCCGGAUUUAUUGGGCGUAAAGAGCUCGUAGGCGGCUUGUCGCGUCGACCGUGAAAACUUGUGGCUCAACCACAAGCUGGCGGUCGAUACGGGCAGACUAGAGUUCGGCAGGGGAGACUGGAAUUCCUGGUGUAGCGGUGAAAUGCGCAGAUAUCAGGAGGAACACCGGUGGCGAAGGCGGGUCUCUGGGCCGAUACUGACGCUGAGGAGCGAAAGCGUGGGGAGCGAACAGG